GUCGUUGAGAAGUUUCUUCACGCUAGGGUGGCGUCCUACCGGAACAAAAGCACUGCAAUCGAACUGUGUUUUGAGCUUAUCAUAUACUGCUUUGGCAAGAGUUGUCUUGCCAAGGCCUCCGAAUCCAAAAAUAGAGAUUGCCUUUAGUUGCUUGGACACAUCACCAUCCCCGUCACUCAGCAUCUUGGUUAGCUCAUUCAAUGAAUCAUCAAUGCCAACGAGCUCUUUUUGGUCCUUGUACAGAGCCAACAGGCGAGGGUCGGCCGUGGUUGCAACAUUUGGAUUAGCAACCACCUCGUGGACCCUGUACCGGUCACGCCGGUCAGCCGCCUCCUGAACACUGACCUUAAUACUUUUGAUCUCGUUGCCGAUGGCAUGGCG
rnacentral:rRNA from 1 species